GAGUUUGAUCUUGGCUCAGAUUGAACGCUGGCGGCAUGCCUUACACAUGCAAGUCGAACGGCAGCACGGGAGCUUGCUCCUGGUGGCGAGUGGCGAACGGGUGAGUAAUGCAUCGGAACGUAUCCUGGAGUGGGGGAUAACGUAGCGAAAGUUACGCUAAUACCGCAUAUUCUGUGAGCAGGAAAGCGGGGGACCUUCGGGCCUCGCGCUCUUGGAGCGGCCGAUGUCGGAUUAGCUAGUUGGUGAGGUAAAGGCUCACCAAGGCGACGAUCCGUAGCAGGUCUGAGAGGAUGAUCUGCCACACUGGAACUGAGACACAGUCCAGACUCCUACGGGAGGCAGCAGUGGGGAAUUUUGGACAAUGGGGGCAACCCUGAUCCAGCCAUGCCGCGUGAGUGAAGAAGGCCUCGGUUGUAAG
rnacentral:rRNA from 1 species